rnacentral:rRNA from 1 species
CCUACGGGGGGCAGCAGUGGGGAAUAUUGGACAAUGGGGGCAACCCUGAUCCAGCCAUGCCGCGUGUGUGAAGAAGGCCCUCGGGUUGUAAAGCACUUUCAGUGAGGAAGAACGCCUGGUGGUUAAUACCCAUCAGGAAAGACAUCACUCACAGAAGAAGCACCGGCUAACUCCGUGCCAGCAGACGCGGUAAUACGGAGGGUGCGAGCGUUAAUCGGAAUUACUGGGCGUAAAGCGCGCGUAGGUGGCUUGAUAAGCCGGUUGUGAAAGCCCCGGGCUCAACCUGGGAACGGCAUCCGGAACUGUCAAGCUAGAGUGCAGGAGAGGAAGGUAGAAUUCCCGGUGUAGCGGUGAAAUGCGUAGAGAUCGGGAGGAAUACCAGUGGCGAAGGCGGCCUUCUGGACUGACACUGACACUGAGGUGCGAAAGCGUGGGUAGCAAACAGGAUUAGAUACCCGAGUAGUC